rnacentral:rRNA from 1 species
UACGGAGGGGGCGAGCGUUGUCCGAAGUUACUGGGCGUAAAGCGCGUGUAGGCGGCUUGGUAGGUCCGCUGUGAAAACUCGAGGCUCAACCUCGAGAUGUCGGCGGAAACCACUUGGCUAGAGUCCGGAAGAGGAGAGUGGAAUUCCUGGUGUAGCGGUGAAAUGCGCAGAUAUCAGGAAGAACACCUAUGGCGAAGGCAGCUCUCUGGGACGGUACUGACGCUGAGACGCGAAAGCGUGGGGAGCGAACAGG